GCGUGACAGCGGGACGUCCCGAAGGUCCGCUCACCUGUUCACCGCUCAGACGUCCUGAUCUUCUACCUUCCUAGAUCAUCCAGCUGUAACCUGUUCCUGAUCAUGUCUUUAGUCCCGCUGUAACACUGAUGCAUCAGUCUCAGACGACAUGGAGCUCAGGUGUUAUCAGAACUACCUGUGUGUGUUUACCACCCAGCUUCAGCUCUUCUGUGGUUGGGUCUGACCCACGUUAGUAAAUCAUCACUCUCCAGGUAUCGGAUCCCCCAGCGGACCCUGAAGCAUGACGGUGAGAAGUGCUCGUGGCAGAUGUACUGGUGUCGAGACGGGGUCCAGUUCUCCCGUCCCAUGUUCCUGAGCCACUGCUGGAGCCGGACCGGGUCCUGCAGCGGGAACCUGAAACACAGACGUGAUGAACGGGUCACAUGUCCUGGAGUUCAGACCACGAAAACUCGCCUCCAUCAGACCGAAGCAUCAGAUGAGAUCAGGUGACGAACUCAGACGCCGUCCACUCAUCGCGUUUCCAUCUGAGCGUCACUUUCUAUAAAUGGCUCUCUGUCCUGUCUGCCUGUGGACGGCACUUCUGCAUUUUUUUCUGGAAACUGGAGAUUAUUAAAAUGGACCUGGUCAGUUGGUCUCUCAACGCGACUGACAACAUUUUUUCCACGAUGAGAACGGGAGAAGGGGCUCCCGGAUGCCCCUCUGGGACAGAGCCAGCUGGGUACAUCAUGGACUCCUGGAAUCAGUGGAACCUGAUCUGCCUCUCAGCUGUCAGUAGAGGAUUCUGAAGACGUCUGGAUAUUCGUCGUUUUGGUGUUGGAAUUCCUGCUGUUUGGCCUGAGCGGUUACCUGGACUUUUACACGUUGGACCGCGCAUGGGACUGCAUUGUCGGGAGAGGGGAGAGCGGGCAGCAGAGGGCGAAAACGUCCUCUGCUGCCCGCGUAUAAACGCAGAAGGAAGUGACGCCACCAUCAGCGUCAGCCUGAGGAAGUUUGCAGCCGCAGACGAAACGUAGCGACAAAACAGGUAACAAAACUGUUUCUGUGUUUUAAAAAAGAACUACAGCAUGGAGUUAGAGAUACGACACAGCAAGAACACACCUAAGAUGUUCAAAGGUUACUUGACUUACUGGAAAAUUAACGAGAUUUCGAGGAAUAUUGGCUCAAUCCCGGAGCUCAGGGAUGGAUUACACCGCGCUGUGAACACACAAACUCAUAUAAUUGUCGAGGUGAGUCGUAAGCUUGGAACUUUGGCUGAGAUUCAGGCUCUGGCACAGAAGGUGGAUUCCAUCAAGGAGCGAGUUGACGGAUCAGCACGGAUUGGGAUAGAUUAAUUACGCCAUUAUUGGAUCUCGAGGGGUUGGAGACCAACAGAACACUAAGGCAGAGAGGAAAUUAUCUCUGUCCCCAAAACAAUUCUUAUCUGAAUCUGGUGCCCUUGAGCCUGUGAGGCUGAAAUGUAAACUCCCCCCUCAGAAGAAAUGUGGAAUGCUGCCGUCGCUAUGGAAACCCUUUCUCCCUAUCCCAGCCUGGGCAGGACUGCGACCGGUGAAGGCCGUGGAACCGUAUCCCUCCCCUGUCCAAACGGAGGUGAUAAGCACUGCUCCAUGCGGCUGCAUGCACUGAAGUGAGGAGAGUCCCAACCCUACCUCCCCACCUAGUGGACACUUAUGUUGUGUAAUGUCUGAAGUCUGUUGCAUUUCUGUCUGAGGUGUUUUAUUUGCAUAGCACAGCUGCCCUCCCUGUGGACGAUAACUCUGAAGUGCCGUUUUUCCCUCCACCUUGACUCUAUCCUCAUAUGAACCCUCUUGAUCUAUUACGGUAGCGCGACUCGUGUCGCGAAUGACCACAGUCACCGAUUCUUGUCGUGUGUCUAUGUAGGUAUGUCUGAUCUCAGAAGUGUGUGUACUGAACCUCUAAUUUCCCUCUGGGAUUAAUAAAGUAUCUUUGAACUGAAUUAAAGUUUCUGUCUCGAUGUUGGUUGAAGUUUUCUGAUCUUAAGCGUCAUCUUAGUGUUUCUGACCUGAAGUUUAUUACGUGUUUAUUGACCACCAGAUUUCUGAUGUUAGUUUGUCUGAAAGCUUUCUAAUCUUAACGUUUACAUUUAAAGGAUUUAAAUCCUUAAACGAGCAACGUUUAGUUGUUUGUUCUUGAUAAUUUUAAAGUUUUGUUUUCAUCUCAAACAUGUGAUUGAUGAGUUUUUAUUGAGUUACACGUUUAUAAGAAUUUAUUGGACCAUCACAUUUUAACGCCUCGUGUUUCUGUAAUGGCAAACAAAAACGUUCCUUUAAUGUUUGGAUUCAGCUUCUUGUGACAUCUUCAGGAUCAUUUUCAUCUUUUGUUUCAGUUCGUGUGUUCGUUAUUAAACAGACGAGUCCUUCUCUCGUUAAGUUCAUGAUGUUCUUUUAUGUUUCUGAUCUCAGAAUUGUGUGUACUGAAACUCUAAUUUCCCUCUGGGAUCAAUAAAGUAUCUUUGAAUUGA